rnacentral:SRP_RNA from 19 species
GUUGUAACGUACGGUUGUUGCCCAAGUGGGGACACGUGUUGGAAGGGCUGGGCACGGUGUGUUGUGGGUCCGUGGAGAUUGUGGUGACGACAGGCUGUCCUCACAAGUGUGCAGUUCGGGUUUGUUUCGUGGGCGGAGGCCCGCGAAACGGCCUGAAUGAUUAGCUGCGUACCGCCGGAGGCGAGAAAUCGAGCACGGUUUAGUGGCUGCUGUGCACAGUGUGUGGAUCGCAGCCUU